CGGCGGACGGGUGAGCAACGCGUGGGUAACCUGCCUCAUACAGGGGGAUAACAGUUGGAAACGGCUGCUAAUACCGCAUAAGCGCACAGUACCGCAUGGUACCGUGUGAAAAACUCCGGUGGUAUGAGAUGGACCCGCGUCUGAUUAGCUAGUUGGUGGGGUAACGGCCUACCAAGGCGACGAUCAGUAGCCGACCUGAGAGGGUGACCGGCCACAUUGGGACUGAGACACGGCCCAA
rnacentral:rRNA from 1 species